AUAUAUAAAAAUUAUCUGGGUGUGGUGGCAUGUGCCUAUAGUCUCAGCUUCUCAGAAGACUGAGGCGUGAGAAUCACUUGAACGAUGGAAGUGGAGGUUGCAGUGAGCUGAGAUCACACUACUGCACUACAGUCUGGGCAACAGAGUGAGACCUUGUCUCAAAAAAAAAAGAAAGAAAAAGAAAAAUGCUUUAUGGCCCAGUGCAGUGGCUCACACCUAUAAUCCUAGCACUUUGGGAGGCUAAGGCAGGAGGUUCGCUUGAGGCCAAGAGUUCAAAACAAGCCUGGGCAACACUGCAAGACCCCAACUCUACAAAAAACGAAAAAUUAGCCGGGAGCGGUGAUGUGUGCCUGUAGUCCCAGCUACUCAGGAGACUGAGGUGGAAGAAUCACUUGAGCCCGGGAGGUUGAGGCUGCAGUGAGCUGUGUUUAUACCACUGCACUCCAGCCUGCUGGGUAACAGAGCAAGACUCCAUCUCAAAAAGAAAAGAAAAAAUGCUUUGCUACAUAAUGAGGCCAGGCAAAAAAAAAAAGUCCUGUGGAAAUCAUAUAGACAAACAUUUGCAAAGCUGCUACUGCCAUUGUACCAGUGUUAAAAUGUGUUCUACCUUGCAUCUUUUACUGAUUUUUAUGACAGAUUUUAUAUUGUAACCAUUUGAGAACUCUGUAAGUGCUAUGGCUUCCUUAAACUACGAUUUAUCAUAUGCUCCCAGUGUUUACUUUGAGACUGAAUGGCAACCAGAGAAUGUAAACAACCAAGGUGCAUCUGGUUAUGUUUUAAAAUAAAGAUUAAUAAAAGUUUUGGUUUUUCUCUUUCUAACCUUCUUUUUAAACUAGAAAUAUAAUACCUAUAGAAAAGUAAAUGUUGGCCG
rnacentral:lncRNA from 1 species